rnacentral:tRNA from 1 species
AAACAUCUAGCUCAUUUGGUAGAGCAUCUGUCGCAUAAACAGUUGGUAGCCGGUUCAAUUCCGGCGAUGUAUAC